rnacentral:rRNA from 1 species
AGUGAACGCUGGCGGUAGGCCUAACACAUGCAAGUCGAACGGCAGCACAGUAAGAGCUUGCUCUUACGGGUGGCGAGUGGCGGACGGGUGAGGAAUACAUCGGAAUCUACUUUUUCGUGGGGGAUAACGUAGGGAAACUUACGCUAAUACCGCAUACGACCUACGGGUGAAAGCAGGGGAUCUUCGGACCUUGCGCGAUUGAAUGAGCCGAUGUCGGAUUAGCUAGUUGGCGGGGUAAAGGCCCACCAAGGCGACGAUCCGUAGCUGGUCUGAGAGGAUGAUCAGCCACACUGGAACUGAGACACGGUCCAGACUCCUACGGGAGGCAGCAGUGGGGAAUAUUGGGCAAUGGGCGCAAGCCUGAUCCAGCCAUACCGCGUGGGUGAAGAAGGCCUUCGGGUUGUAAAGCCCUUUUGUUUGGAAAGAAAAGCAGCAGGUUAAUACCCCGCUGUUCUGACGGUACCCAAAGAAUAAGCACCGGCUAACUUCGUG